rnacentral:sRNA from 1 species
AUUAUUAUGUUAUAAUAAACUAGUAGAAAAGUUAAGACGGUGGCUAUCUUUGAAAGGUGGUGAUGCUUAUGAAAGUAAACAUCAAAAUCUAUAGAGAGGGGAUGCCUAUUUGUCAGCAUAUGAGACAAUUCAAGUUAUUUUAGGCUUUGGUAUGUUUACCAUCGGUUUAAUUGGCUUAGU